GAUACUAGUUAAAAAUUUAUUUUUAUUUAUAUUUUCAUCAUAUAAUAGUAUUACAAUAUGACAUCCAUCCUCUCUAAACUUAAGCAUCUUUUGGAAUCCACCUAUAGAAUCAUUGAAUUUGGCUCGCAUUACACCACCUUUUUAUUUUUAAUAUUUGAUCCAUCUUUCAAAAUUCUAAUAAAUCAUGUAUCAAAAAUAUCUAUAUCUUGCAAGAAUAUCUCUUAUUUUGUACUUCUAUAAUCCUACUUUAUAGUAGUACUUUUCUAAAAUCCUUAAAUUUAAUAUCUCUUAGCAAUAUAUCCUCCUUCAACUUAUCUCAAUUUUUUUUUUUAUUUGAACAAAUUAACAAUGCAUGAGCAAUAAAAUUAUGAGCAGUUAAUAAUAUAUGAGCAGUUAAAAUCUUAUUUUCCAUCAUUAUCCAUCAUAGUACCAUAGCUUGUAGCUUCUAUUAUUACAAUCGUAUAUACAAUCAAAUAAU
rnacentral:lncRNA from 1 species